AACGAACGCUGGCGGCAGGCUUAACACAUGCAAGUCGAACGCAUCCUUCGGGGUGAGUGGCAGACGGGUGAGUAACGCGUGGGAACGUGCCCUUCAGUUCGGGAUAACCCAGGGAAACUUGGGCUAAUACCGGAUACGUGCGAGAGCAGAAAGAUUUAUCGCUGAAGGAUCGGCCCGCGUCUGAUUAGCUAGUUGGUGGGGUAAUGGCCCACCAAGGCGACGAUCAGUAGCUGGUCUGAGAGGAUGAUCAGCCACAUUGGGACUGAGACACGGCCCAAACUCCUACGGGAGGCAGCAGUGGGGAAUAUUGGACAAUGGGCGCAAGCCUGAUCCAGCAAUGCCGCGUGAGUGAUGAAGGCCUUAGGGUUGUAAAGCUCUUUCGUACGGGACGAUAAUGACGGUACCGGAAGAAGAAGCCCCGGCUAACUUCGUGCCAGCCGCCGCGGUAA
rnacentral:rRNA from 1 species